rnacentral:lncRNA from 1 species
AAAAGUCCAAGUGGCCGGUAGCCCCAGGGGAAGAUGCUGUCCCUUCCUGGUAAUCCGAGGAAGGCAAACACAACUACGGGGAGAUGGGAUUAGCAAAGAAGAAAGAGUAACAAGGCCUGGUGUGGGGGAGGGAAUGGAGGGGGGCGGGCCCUCUUCUGCCGCACUGCUGGUGGGAGGGGAAAUUAGGGACCCGAGUUGGUGGAUGACGUAGAUCUCACGUGACCAAGAGCUGACGUGUGCAGAAGUCCUUCUUGUUCUGGUCCUUGUUCCCGUCUGAGUACCAGCUCCCCAUUGCCCUGAGGGCCAGCGGGCCUGCGGCAGAGGGAAGGAGGAGGAGAAGAAGGAAAUUGUCCCGGAUUCUUGCAGGGGGCCCGAGUCUCUCCUGGGUUGCCAGUCUUUCCGUAGGUUGCGGCACUACGCCAGGCAAGAGAAGAGGAAGGAAAUUAACCCCAAUCGGUGAAGGUCGAUUUGAGGGUCUGCUGUAGCAGGUGGCACUACUUGAAGCGAGAGAGGAAGUUUCCUCGGAUCAGUAGAGAUUGCAAGGGUUGUUGGGCGUGGCACACCUCCAGGGGAGGGAAGAAGGGACAAACUGCCUGUCUGGAGGAGGUUAGUGCAACAGUGCCACUCCCUGGGGACACCCGAGCUUGGGGUGGCUGAGGCCCCAGCAGAGACUAAGGGCUC